UGCUAGAAAGUGUUGUAGUUGAUUGA
rnacentral:piRNA from 1 species